GGGCCCGCACAAGCGGUGGAGCAUGUGGUUUAAUUCGAUGCAACGCGAAGAACCUUACCAGGUCUUGACAUCCUACGGAUCCGAUUGAAAGAUUGGAGUGCCUUCGGGAGCGUAGAGACAGGUGGUGCAUGGUUGUCGUCAGCUCGUGUCGUGAGAUGUUGGGUUAAGUCCCGCAACGAGCGCAACCCUUGCUAUUAGUUGCUAACAAUUAGGAUGAGCACUCUAAUGGGACUGCCGGUGACAAGCCGGAGGAAGGUGGGGAUGACGUCAAAUCAUCAUGCCCUUUAUGAUCUGGGCUACACACGUGCUACAAUGGGUGGUACAGAGAGCAGCAAGACCGUGAGGUGGAGCGAAUCUCAAAAAGCCAUUCUCAGUUCGGAUUGGAGUCUGCAACCCGACUCCAUGAAGUCGGAAUCGCUAGUAAUCGCGAAUCAGCAUGUCGCGGUGAAUGCGUUCCCGGGCCUU
rnacentral:rRNA from 1 species